rfam:Phlebotomus papatasi Contig20.30, whole genome shotgun sequence.
AACACUGUGUGUAGCUGGUUGACUUCGGGUCAAAUCAAUUCUAAAGUAUUUGGUCCCCUUCAACCAGCUGUAGCAGUGAUUGAAC